UUUUGUGAAGAGACGAAGACUGAGCGGUUGUGGCCGCUUUGCCGACCUCCAGCAGCAGUCGGCUUCUCCACCCAGAACCCGGGAGUAGGAGACUCAGAAUCGAAUCUCUUCUCCCUCCCCCUCUUGUGAGAUUUUUUUGAUCUUCAGCUACAUUUUCGGCUUUGUGAGAAACCUUACCAUCAAACACAAUGGCCAGCAACGUUACCAACAAGACAGAUCCUCGCUCCAUGAACUCCCGUGUAUUCAUUGGGAAUCUCAACACUCUUGUGGUCAAGAAAUCUGAUGUGGAGGCAAUCUUUUCGAAGUAUGGCAAAAUUGUGGGCUGCUCUGUUCAUAAGGGCUUUGCCUUCGUUCAAUAUGUUAAUGAGAGAAAUGCCCGGGCUGCUGUAGCAGGAGAGGAUGGCAGAAUGAUUGCUGGCCAGGUUUUAGAUAUUAACCUGGCUGCAGAGCCAAAAGUGAACCGAGGAAAAGCAGGUGUGAAACGAUCUGCAGCGGAGAUGUACGGGUCAGUAACAGAACACCCUUCUCCGUCCCCUCUACUCAGGUCCGGAACUUUAUUAUUUAUAACUGCAUUGUGUCCAUCAGUGGGCAUCUUCUUUCUG
rnacentral:sRNA from 1 species